GGUCGGUUAGCUCAGCUGGUUAGAGCAUCGCAAUCACACUGCGAAGGUCAUACGUUCAAUCCGUAUACUGACCA